AUGAAUGAGUCGAAAAAUAAUGUGUGAUGCAGAGUACUUUUAGUUUGGUUCAUGUUUUGCUACACAUUCGGAAUGAUAUAACAUCACUGUUGAUGUUUUUCUUUUAGCGAUGACUUCACUGCCUAUGCAGAUGUGUGCUUCAAGAUUUGCGGUUAAUGUAUUCACUCUAGGCGGUUAUGAUAUAAUGGAACGAGUUCUCCAAAUCAUUGUUCCCCGCCCUUCGGAAUGAAACCCUGCCCUAUUGGUAACUCAUCAACCGAGCCUUACAUAGCAGGUCAUAAUUUACUGCUCGCGCAUUCAGCUGUGGUUGAGACUCUACAGGAGAAAAUACAUAUGUAUCAUCUUUAAACAUCGCGACUACUAUUUUUUACUAGUGUACUAAACCCAAAUGUUUGCUAAUAGUGUGUACGCGCUCCAGUGCAGUCGACUCAAAAUGGUUUUGUUGGAUUAAAUCUCUUUGGUCUCUUCCUUAUACAAAUAAAACAGCUGAUGUAAAUGUAGCACAACGAGCUAAUGAUUUUUACCUCGGGUGGUUUGUGAAUCCAUUGGUAUUUGGAGACUAUCCCGAUAUAAUGAAGAAGAAUGCUGGUUCUAGAUUGCCCAAAUUCAUGAAACAAGAAUCUACGCAUGUUAAAGGUCAAAUGACACCUGCAACGUUAAAUGAUACAACUCGGAUAGAAUUUAUCUUCAAGCUUAUAUUGGAUGAUGCUGUGAG